AGUAGUUGACUCCGUCGGCUCGAGGACGACGCUGGCGGCGUGCUUAACACAUGCAAGUCGAACGGAAAGGCCCUGCUUUUGUGGGGUGCUCGGAGUGGCGAACGGGUGAGUAACACGUGAGUAACCUGCCCUUGACUUUGGGAUAACUUCAGGAAACUGGGGCUAAUACCGGAUAGGAGCUCCUGCUGCAUGGUGGGGGUUGGAAAGUUUCGGCGGUUGGGGAUGGACUCGCGGCUUAUCAGCUUGUUGGUGGGGUAGUGGCUUACCAAGGCUUUGACGGGUAGCCGGCCUGAGAGGGUGACCGGCCACAUUGGGACUGAGAUACGGCCCAGACUCCUACGGGAGGCAGCAGUGGGGAAUAUUGCACAAUGGGCGGAAGCCCGAUGCAGCAACGCCGCGUGCGGGAUGACGGCCUUCGGGUUGUAAACCGCUUUCGCCUGUGACGAAGCGUGAGUGACGGUAAUGGGUAAAGAAGCACCGGCUAACUACGUG
rnacentral:rRNA from 1 species